ACGUCGUCCGUUGCUUGACCCGUCUAGUAACACGGACCAAGGAGUCUGGCUCGCGCGCGAGUGCCGAGGGUUGUUCACGAAUGUACGAUCCAUCGUCGGUGUUAUCGCCGAAGACAACAUGCACACACCCUUGCGCGAAGUGAAAGCGGGAAGUUAGAAUGCAAAAACAUAACAUCCAUCCGAUUCGCGUCCCCCCGGACGCGAUGAGGUGAGAAUUCCGUAGCGCGCGGGUCGGUACCCGAAAGAUGGUGAACUAUGCCCGAGCAGGGCGAAGCCGGGGGAAACUCCGGUGGAGGCUCGCAGCGAUUCUGACGUGCAAAUCGAUCGUCGAACUCGGGUAUAGGGGCGAAAGACUAAUCGAACCAUCUAGUAGCUGGUUCCCUCCGAAAUUUCCCUCAGGAUAGCUGCAACUUGAACUUUUUUUUUAAAUCGACUGCCAGUUGCAUGUGGUAGAGUGAAUGAUUAGGGGAAUCGCCCGGACCGGGCGUCAAAACCUCGGCCCGGGCGGGUCACGGGGACCUGAGCUGUCCUCGUCCCAUUCUCAAACUUCGAACGCGUGCGAUGGGACGGGGGUCGGCGGCGGCCGCGGCACUCGCUGCCGCAGCCCCCUCCGAUCCUCCCACCCCUGGAAUGGCUUACAGUUGCUAGUGGGCCAGCCCGGGUAAGCUGGGCUGGCGAUGCGGGAUGAACCGAACGUCGCGUUAAAGUGCCCAACUCCCCGCUCUCAGAUCCCACAAAAGGUGUCGGUUCAUAGUCACAGCAGGACGGUGGCCACGGAAGUCGGAAUCCGCUAAGGAGUGUGUAACAACUCACCUGCCGAAUGAACCGGCCCUGAAAAUGGAUGGCGCUCAAGCGGGGGACUUAUACGUCGACCAUCACCCCGUCCUUCCCCCCAUCGGCGGGGACGGGCGGUGAGGGGUGAUGAGUAGGAGGGCGCGGGGUUCGCGUCGAAGCGCCACGCGCAAGCGGGCGUGGAGCGCACUCCGGUGCAGAUCUUGGUGGUAGUAGCAAAUAUUCGAAAGAGAAUUACACUUCGAAGGCCGAAGCGGAGAAAGGUUCCGCGCGAACAUCAGUUGUGCGCGGGUUAGUCGAUCCUGAGAGAUAGGUUAACGUUCCGUUAUCAUUCCGGUCGCCUAUUCAUGCGCGACCGUGAUCGAAAGGGAAAGGGACUUAAAUUUCUCUACCUCGAUCCGUCCCGCAAGCGUGGCGACACUAUCCUGGCCGUAGGAGACGCCGUCGCUGGCCCGGGCGCGAGUUAUCGUCUCGCGUUAAAUACCAUAUCAUCGACCGUGCUCCCACGUAAUGUGUAUUCGAUUAUCUUACGGUGGCGAUGCCGCGUGCAAUGUGCGAAUCCUACGAACCGCAUCAAGCGGCGAAUAGCACCCGACCCCGUCUUCCCCCGUUGCCUCCUUCGGGAGGACUGCGGGGGUCGUUCGAUGGUCGGCGAUUCGCGGGUUAAAGAGUGCUUCACCUGUUCUUACGGGAACGGUGCCUACGAAGCAUCCCGAGCGCUCGCGACGGCCCUUGAAAAUCCUACGCGUCGCAAUCCAAUCCCUCCCCGCCGCUGCCUGUGCAAAUGGGCGGCGGUGGGGCGGUGUACCGGGACGGAUCCGAGUUCGUACUGAUCACCGCAUCAGGUCUCCGAGGUGAACAGCCUCUGGUCGAUAGGAUAACGCAGGUAAGGGAAGUCGGCAAAAUGGAUCCGUAACUUCGGGAUAAGGAUUGGCUCUGAAUGUGACGCCCGCAUCUCCCCCAUCCAGGGUCUCCAGCACUCCUCCGGGAGCGGCAGGGGAUCCGGGACGGAGGAUGCGGCAUGCCACAAAUUCGGAACUGGAGCGGACGAGGGGAAUCCGACUGUUUAAUUAAAACAAAGCAUCGCGACGUCGAGAGAUCGAUCUACCGCGAUGUGAUUUCUGCCCAGUGCCACGAAUGUCAAAGUGAAGAAAUUCGACCAAGCGCGGGUAAACGGCGGGAGUAACUAUGACUCUCUUAAGGUAGCCAAAUGCCUCGUCAUCUAACUAGUGACGCGCAUGAAUGGAUUAAUGAGAUUCCCACUGUCCCUACCUGCAGCCUAGCGAACCCACAGCCAAGGGAACGGGCUUGGAAAAAUCAGCGGGGAAAGAAGACCCUGUUGAGCUUGACUCUAGUCCGACGCUGCCUGGCGACUCGCAAGGUAUAGGAUAGGCGGGAGGGCGGUGGCCUAACUCGCCGCCGCUCGAAGUUGAAAUACCGCCACUUGCGACGUCGCCUCGCUCACGAUGCAUGACGCUCGAGGACGACCCGCCGGUGGACGGCCUUGAUUGGUGUGCUCCGCCGGGGGUCCGACUUCUAGAUAACCGAGCGAUCGGCGCCGGGUCUGUCCGCCAAAGGACCUUCCCGGCCGCGUCGUUCAAAAUGGGUGCCCGUCGGACAACGUCGGAUGGGGAGUUUGGCUGGGGCGGCACAUCUGUUAAACGAUAACACAGGUGUCCCAAGGUCAGCUCAGCGAGAACGGAAAUCUCGCGCAGAGCAGAAGGGCAAAAGCUGGACCUUGACCCGCGCUCCCAGUACGAGCGCGGUUCGCGAAAGCGAGGCCUACCGAUCCUUUAGCGGGCGGCCGGCGCACCCCCCUCCCUGCCUCCGGGUGCGGAGGGACGGUGUGCCGCCGCACGACCAGGAAAAUGGCCCUCCGCAAGGUGGGCUCAAUUGGUGCUAGAGGUGACAGAAAAGUUACCACAGGGAUAACUGGCUUGUGGCAGCCAAGCGUUCGUAGCGACGUUGCUUUUUGAUUCUUCGAUGUCGGCUCUUCCUAUCAUUGCGUCGCAGAAGGCGCCAAGUGUAGGAUUGUUCACCCACCAACAGGGAACGUGAGCUGGGUUUAGACCGUCGUGAGACAGGUUAGUUUUAUCCUACUGAUGAAGUGUGUUAUCGCAACAGUAAUUGAGGUUAGUACGAGAGGAACCCCUGAUUCAGAUAAUUGGUAAAGCGGUUGGUUGAAAAGGCAAUGCCGCGAAGCUACCAUCUGUUGGUUUAGGGCUGAACGCCUCUAAGUCCGAAACCAUGCUGGAGAGGCGAUGAUAGUGUGUGUUUUCUGUGUGAUAAGAAUGAGCGAGGAUACUUUUGUCUCUUGUUGGAGAGGAAAGGGUGCCAUGAAAGGUUGUGUUGUUCCGUCAAAUGAACUGUGCAGCUGAUUGAUAAUUGCAAGCGUGGAAAGUGAUAAAUCCUUUGUAGACGACUUUGUUUGGACAAGGUAUUGUAAGCA
rnacentral:rRNA from 12 species